rnacentral:rRNA from 1 species
AUAGCGUAUAUUAAAGUUGUUGCAGUUAAAAAGCUCGUAGUUGGACCUUGGGCCUGGACAGGCGGUCCGCCUCACGGCGUGUACUGUCUUGCUGGGCCUUUCCUCUUGGUGAUCUGUGGUUUCGGCCGCAGGGAACCAGGACCUUUACUUUGAAAAAAUUAGAGUGUUCAAAGCAGGCUUUACGCCAGAAUAUAUUAGCAUGGAAUAAUAAAAUAGGACGUGCGGUUCUAUUUUGUUGGUUUUUGGGAUCGCCGUAAUGAUUAAUAGGGACAGUCGGGGGCAUUAGUACUCACAUGCUAGAGGUGAAAUUCUUGGAUUUUGUGAAGACUAACUUCUGCGAAAGCAUUUGCCAAGGAUGUUUUCAUUAAUCAAGAACGAAGGUUAGGGUAUCGAAAACGAUUAGAUACCGUUGUAGUCUUAACUAGUAAACUAUGCCGACUAGGGAUCGGUCGAUGUUAUUUUCUUGAACUCGAUCGGCACCCUUACGAGAAAUCAAAGUUUUUGGGUUCUGGGGGGAGUAUGGUCGCA